GUGAGGGAAGGGGUGACUAGUGACAGAGUGAGGGGAUGACUGGUGACAGAGUGAGGGAGGUGGUGACUAGGGACAGAGUGAGGGAGGUGGUGACUGUCACUAGUCACCACCUCCCUCACUCUGUCCCUAGUCACUCCUCCCUCUGUCACUAGUCACCCCCUUCCUCACUGUCACUAGUCACCCCCUCCCUCUCUGUCUCACUAGUCACACCCUCCCUCAC